UACGUAGGUGGCAAUCGUGGUCCGGAAUUAUUGGGCGUAAAGCGCGCGCAGGCGGUCCCUUAAGGCUGAUGUGACAGCCCACGGCUCAACCGUGGAGGGUCAUUGGAAACUGGGGAACUUGAGUGCAGAAGAGGAAAGUGGAAUUCCAAGUGUAGCGGUGAAAUGCGUAGAGAUUUGGAGGAACACCAGUGGCGAAGGCGGCUUUCUGGUCUGUAACUGACGCUGAGGCGCGAAAGCGUGGGGAGCAAACAGG
rnacentral:misc_RNA from 1 species